GAUCGUUUGAUCAUGGCUCAGAACGAACGCUGGCGGCAGGCCUAACACAUGCAAGUCGAACGGACGUAGCAAUACGUUAGUGGCGCACGGGAGAGUAACGCGUGGGAACUACCUUUUGGUUCGGGAUAACAUCGGGAAACUGGUGCUAAUACCGGAUAAGCCCUUCGGGGGAAAGAUUUAUUGCCGAAAGAUGGGCCCGCGUUGGAUUAGCUAGUUGGUGAGGUAAUGGCUCACCAAGGCAACGAUCCAUAGCUGGUCUGAGAGGAUGAUCAGCCUUACUGGGACUGAGACACGGCCCAGACUCCUACGGGAGGCAGCAGUGGGGAAUAUCGGACAAUGGGGGAAACCCUGAUCCAGCCAUGCCGCGUGAAUGAUGAAGGCCUUCGGGUUGUAAAGUUCUUUUGGUGGGGACGAUGAUGACGGUACCCACAGAAUAAGCUCCGGCUAACUUCGUGCCAGCAGCCGCGGUAAUACGAAGGGAGCUAGCGUUGUUCGGAAUUACUGGGCGUAAAGGGCGCGUAGGCGGUUUGACAAGUUGGAUGUGAAAGCCCUGGGCUCAACCCGGGAAUUGCAUUCAAGACUGUCUUACUUGAAUUCGGUAGAGGUGAGUGGAAUUCCCAGUGUAGAGGUGAAAUUCGUAGAGAUUGGGAAGAACACCAGUGGCGAAGGCGGCUCACUGGACCGACAUUGACGCUGAGGCGCGAAAGCGUGGGGAUCAAACAGGAUUAGAUACCCUGGUAGUCCACGCCGUAAACGAUGCAUGCUAGACGUUGGAGACCUCAGGUUUCCAGUGUCGCAGCUAACGCAAUGAGCAUGCCGC
rnacentral:rRNA from 1 species